CUGUCACCGACACUAUGCUAAGAGGACAUCAGAAGCCAGAUUCGAUGGCAGCUGCCAGCUCAUAGCCCUUGGGCCGCUCACCUCUCCUCCUCUCCCAGAGCAGAUUUCAAACCUAUUUGUCAUCACCGUGGCUUUGUUCCCAGGUGACCUCAUUAAGUGGAGGAAGGGGACCAUGGUGACCAAAUGACUUCAUAGAAAGGACUAAGCCUGACUCUUUUGCUUGCUGCUCACCAGAUUGUCCUUCCCUGGGUCAGUCAUCAGCCCAUCCUGGGCUCAGCCAUAAAACGGGGACAAGAAUUGGAAUGCUGAUGCAAGAACCCAAGGCUGCGUUGUGUGUACAGCAAGCACAUGACUCAUCACUGAGGCACUUCCCCGGCCACUGACCACACUUCCCUAGGCUUCAUGGACAGACCGUCACCUAAAGACUCUCCAGAGAAACUUCUUUCGCUGGAAGGAGAUCCACCCUGGGGCUGCGUGUGAGGUGGAGGGACACAGAUGGCCCUCACAGAUGAGAAUGUCUCAUGGCUUUCCAGUUCCUGCAGGACCCGAGCUCUCCAUCAACUCUUCUUGAACUCUCCAUGUGAGAUUUCCAGCUGCUCACCAUCAGCACCCUCCAAGAGCUGCUAUCCAGCCAUGUGGAAGGAUAAAACUGUCCCCCAAA